ensembl:lncRNA
CUGCUAUGGGAUCUUCACGAAGGAUGGGUGCCUGCCCUGUGUUUGGCUCUCGGUAGGGCACCCAAAGCAACAGCUGAACAGUGGAGCAUCUGGAACAAGAAGCCAAACAUCAGGAAUUCAUCAUCUGGAAGAUACCAGCAGGGCAGACCUGGAGCACCUUAUUCUUGGCUCAACUGAUGGCAUCCUCUAUUGCCCAUGCCACAGUUCCCCCAUGUAUCCAACUACACAGCUCAAUCCUGACCAGAACCCUGCAUUAAUUCAGUCAUAUCUGACACAACGUUACUCGAUGGCCCCCGCUCAUUUCUCACUGACGUGGUCUGACUUGGCCAUAUGUGACCCUCGGAGGGCGAUUGCCCUCAUUGCACAUUGGCUUUGGCUGUGG